GGUGAACGCUGGCGGCGUGCUUGACACAUGCAAGUCGAACGGUAUGUGGCAACACAUAGAGUGGCGAACGGGUGAGUAACACGUGGGAACGUACCAUCUGCAGGGGGAUAACUGACCGAAAGGACAGCUAAUACCGCAUAAGUCCGGAAGGAGAAAGGUGCAAUAGCAUCGGCAGAAGAGCGGCCCGCGGUCCAUCAGCUAGUUGGUGAGGUAAGGGCUUACCAAGGCGACGACGGAUAGCCGGCGUGAGAGCGUGGCCGGCCACAAGGACACUGAGAUACGGGUCCUACUCCUACGGGAGGCAGCAGUGCGGAAUUUUAGAUAAUGGAGGGAACUCUGAUCUAGCGACGCCGCGUGCAGGAAGAAGGUCUUCGGAUUGUAAACUGCUGUGGUAAGGGAAAAAUGCUAUGUAGAGUGGAAAGCUACAUAGAGGGAUGGUACCUUACUAGAAAGCCCCGGCUAACUACGUGCCAGCAGCCGCGGUAAUACGU
rnacentral:rRNA from 1 species